GAAUAUAUACAACAGGAAAAACUCGACGCAGAAGCCACUAUUUGGCUACAUCCAUAGAAGCCAUGACGUGUAGACCGGGUUCACUAAUAACGAACCAGUUCACCGCUCACCCCCCUCUGGGCCUCUCUCCCCUCUCGAAUUCGAAAACCCCUCUUCCUCGUAUCUCCACUCACCCCCUCUCUCUCCCCUCUCGUUAUCGUAUCCCUUCUGUCAAGAGAGACCCUCAAUCUCCUCACAUUUCUAAUCCCUUUCUUUUUCUUCACUGUGAAUCCCUCAAGUUUAUUGACAAAGCCCGUCGUCUUCUUCUUCUUCUUCUCUGUGAAUCGUAGAGUGGCGCUGACAAAGUCAAGAACAACAGAACUCAGGUUCGAUUUCGAUACCUUUUUCUUCUCAUUCUCUGUGAUUCUCCCAACCCCCUCAUGUGCAUUGUGAUUGCGAGAUCCCUUCAUUCGCUCACACUAUGAUUUCCCACCUGAUGCGAUUUCCCCAUCUCAAUCCCGUGACGGUGUUAGUCCAUACACUACGAAAUUGCAUCCAGAGAUCUUCAAUUUACCGAGUUGGUGGCUGAAGCUACUCAAAGUCUUUUCAUGGACGAAAUGGUAUCCAAGCACAGGAUGAUGAUGGAGCCAAAAACUAUUCGACACCAAGUAGAGCUUGAAAACCAAACACAGGAGCAAAAUAUUGACUUGUACUUGUGAUCAAUCAAUUUAGUGUGAAUCCAGAUUCAGAGCAAGCCUCCAUGAAAGCUUAUACUGUUGUAAUCAGUGACUUGUAGUUAGAGAUAUUAUGGAUUGUGAGCAAGUGAUAUUUUACACUUUCACUUAUUGAUGUAAAUAUUUGUUGGUUAAUUACAAGUGAGUUGUGCUUCCAUUA